CUCCGGUUGAUCCCGCCGGACCCGACUGCUAUCAGAGUGGGACUAAGCCAUGCGAGUCAACGUAGCAAUACGUGGCAUACGGCUCAGUAACACGUAGUCAACAUGCCCAGGGGACGAGGAUAACCUCGGGAAACUGAGGAUAAACCUCGAUAGGCCAUGAUUUCUGGAAUGAUUCUUGGCUCAAACCUAUAUGGCCCCUGGAUUGGACUGCGGCCGAUCAGGCUGUUGGUGAGGUAAUGGCCCACCAAACCUAUUACCGGUACGGGCUCUGAGAGGAGGAGCCCGGAGAUGGGCACUGAGACAAGGGCCCAGGCCCUAUGGGGCGCAGCAGGCGCGAAACCUCUGCAAUAGGCGAAAGCUUGACAGGGUUACUCUGAGUGAUUUCCGCUAAGGGAAUCUUUUGGCACCUCUAAAAAUGGUGCAGAAUAAGGGGUGGGCAAGUCUGGUGUCAGCCGCCGCGGUAAUACCAGCACCCCGAGUGGUCGGGACGAUUAUUGGGCCUAAAGCAUCCGUAGCCGGUCCUGCAAGUCUUCCGUUAAAUCCAGCUGCUCAACAGAUGGGCUGCGGGAGAUACUACAGGGCUAGGAGGCGGGAGAGGCAAGCGGUACUUUAUGGGUAGGGGUAAAAUCCGCUGAUCCAUAGAAGACCACCAGUGGCGAAGGCGGCUUGCCAGAACGCGCUCGACGGUGAGGGAUGAAAGCUGGGGGAGCAAACCGGAUUAGAUACCCGGGUAGUCCCAGCUGUAAACGAUGCAGACUCGGUGAUGGGUUGGCUUCGAGCCAACCCAGUGCCGCAGGGAAGCCGUUAAGUCUGCCGCCUGGGGAGUACGGUCGCAAGACUGAAACUUAAAGGAAUUGGCGGGGGAGCA
rnacentral:rRNA from 1 species